GGAAAACCAAGAAGAUAUCUGGGGCUGAAUCCUGCAAACAGUGUGCACAGUCUUGAUGUUUAACAUCCAGGGUUGCUACUAAUUUUAAAUUCUGAGAGGAGUCAACACCAAGUAAUAAGAUACAUUUUAUUAUGGAAGUGACAAUGCAUUGCUCCUGCCUAAGCAGACCCAGCCUUGAAUCAGAUGAAAUUUUCUGCUGAUCCAGAUUUCUCAGUCUCUCCACGAACCUUGGAGCACCCUCUCCUCGUUUCUGUGAGAAGCUGCUGGUCAGACCUUUGUGAGAGCCAGAAGAGAAGGAAGCCCAGCUGUGAGGAGAGAUGGAGAAGAGCUGUGGUGGGAAGCCCAGCCAUCCAUGCCUGCAGGAGUGAAUCCAGCCUUUUCAUCCCCCUGGCUGGCACAGCUUGUCCUUGUGAGUCCUCUGUGUCCUCUUCUCCAGCUGUGACAGCUCCGUGCCUGUGGCUCUCAUUGACUGAGCCUGUAAUUAGCACUAAUCAAGGCAAGGUGCUGCCCACGCUGCCAGAGGGGAUGGGAGUGCAGCGUGCUGGAGCAGCCUGUGCUGUGGAAGCCUUGGGGAAAUUCUCCAGGCUCCUCCACCAGCCAGGAGCUCAUCCUGGUCCUCACUGGCCACGCCAAGGAAAGCUGGAAAACACCCAAGCAAAGCUGGUCUGCAACUUGUGCUUAUUGAAUGUACCUGGAAGGAAAAUCUAUCAGGGUGUGACAAGGGUUAUUUUAAUAAUCUAAAAUCUUAUUGCUUCUGGAACAUCUGCUUCUUCAUGGAGCAAGAAAACUGGUUUUAAUUUCAUUGCCAUAAUUUCAUGGAAAUAAAUUUGAAAAACUCAAACUCCACUAUGAGUUAGAAAAACAGUAUUUUCUUUUUCCUACCUGUAACAGUGCUCAUAAAACUGCAUAAAAUACAAAGCAAAUAGAAAUAUUUGCAAAUAAUUUCCCCAUUAGUAAAGUAAAAACUUCACCUGAUUUUUAACUUUGCAGGGGAAAGCAGAAUUUGCAAGAGAUGGUUCUUUUGAGGUGAUGGAAGAUGUUACUCAGUCAUAUUCCUUGUCUAGAUAGAAGCAGAUACAUUCCUGUUGUAUUUUAAUUAGUUCUAAACCUAUGCAGGUGAGGAGUACAGUACAGUAUUGUUAUUAAAAUUCAUGCUUUAUAAUCAGAACAGUUAGUACAGUCUCUGAGAACAGCAAACUAAAGAGCUUUUAACUUUGGUUAAUAGUGGAAUUAUCUAACUCCUGCUACCAUUUAACCCAUUGCUAAGUUUUUAAGUAGAGAGAAAGGUUGUGAUGAUAAAGUGAAAUUGUUGCAUUAAGAUCAGAAGGAGAAAAGCUGUGAUCCUUCUCAAAGGCUACAUCAGGUCAGCCAUUAAUUAUGAAUGCUCAUUAAUUAUAAUGGAUUUUCUGCCACAAAAUCUCUUUAGCUGAUCUCUUGAACGGAACUUCAGUAGGGCAGCUGUGACAAAUGUAGGAGGAUUGCCCCUUUUAAAGGCUGGGGGUUUCUCUCUUGUGGCACCCAUGCUGAAACUGAAGCAAAAUGACUAAUGAAGUUAAGAACCUCAUUCUUUUGAAGAUCAAAGUCAUAAAAUUCUGUUAAUUCCCUUUGAGACAAAACUAUCAAUUAUAGCGAAGAGAUUUUUCCCUGUAACUUUUUGUUGCAUUUUAAAACUCCCUAAUUGUUUCCCAAGACCAUCUCCCUUUGUAUUUUGCUAUAAACUAAUUUACUCAAGUGUCAGGAAUCUAAAAAUAAAGUAUCUUUGGAUC